GUCGAGGGGUAUUGUUCUUCGGAAUGAGAGACCGGCGCACGGGUGCGUAACGCGUAUGCAAUCUACCUUUUACAGAGGGAUAGCCCAGAGAAAUUUGGAUUAAUACCUCAUAGUAUGUGAGAAUGGCAUCAUUUUCACAUUAAAGUCACAACGGUAAAAGAUGAGCAUGCGUCCCAUUAGCUAGUUGGUAAGGUAACGGCUUACCAAGGCUACGAUGGGUAGGGGUCCUGAGAGGGAGAUCCCCCACACUGGUACUGAGACACGGACCAGACUCCUACGGGAGGCAGCAGUGAGGAAUAUUGGACAAUGGGCGCAAGCCUGAUCCAGCCAUGCCGCGUGCAGGAUGACGGUCCUAUGGAUUGUAAACUGCUUUUGCACAGGAAGAAACAACGCUACGUGUAGCGUCUUGACGGUACUGUGAGAAUAAGGAUCGGCUAACUCCGUGCCAGCAGCCGCGGUAAUACGGAGGAUCCAAGCGUUAUCCGGAAUCAUUGGGUUUAAAGGGUCCGUAGGCGGUUUGGUAAGUCAGUGGUGAAAGCCCAUCGCUCAACGGUGGAACGGCCAUUGAUACUGCCAGACUUGAAUUAUUAGGAAGUAACUAGAAUAUGUAGUGUAGCGGUGAAAUGCUUAGAGAUUACAUGGAAUACCAAUUGCGAAGGCAGGUUACUACUAAUGGAUUGACGCUGAUGGACGAAAGCGU
rnacentral:rRNA from 1 species